AUGCUAAACUGGGCUUGAAAUUGGGCUGUCACCAAAAUUGUCUGAGCCAUUUUAAUUUGGUUUAUCAAUGCUUUGUGCCUUUUAUAAUAUAAUUCUCAUGCACCACCAAUGUGAGACUUUGUUCGCACUUCAAUAUUCCAACGCUAUCCCUUUAAGUGUACUGUAGAUGUGUGGGAUUUUGUUGCCUUUGGUCUGUUUAUGAUGUGAUUGCUGGAAAAGACAUUCUUCAAUUCUCUUUCUUCAAAGCUUUCUUUUAAUAAUUUUUAGAUUAGUAGAAAAUUAGAAGAGAAUGACGGGUUG
rnacentral:misc_RNA from 1 species